rfam:Stachybotrys chlorohalonata IBT 40285 unplaced genomic scaffold scaffold1768, whole genome shotgun sequence.
GGGCGCUUGGCUUAGUGGUAAAGCGCUCCCUUAGCAUACUUUCUUCGUCCAAGUAGGCUCUCUGGGAGAGGUCCAGGGUUCGAUUCCCUGAGUGUCCA